UGGGCAGGGCAGGGCAGGGGGAGAAGGAGCCUCCCUACCAGAACCUCCUCUUCCCUCCAGCAUCUCUGGCAGGCCCUGCCGAUCAGCGCCUCCCCAUCGCAUGCCAUGGAUCCAAUGUUUCACGGUGUCAGGAGGCACUGGGGAAGAGGAGCAAGGGCACAGUGCACAUGGGGAAGGGGUGCUCAGAAACUACAGUGAUGGGUGGCAGUAUAAUGUCCUAAGAUAGACAGAAACUUAAAUUUCUGGGUUAAACUAUCCAGCAAAGCACACACUGUAUUAAUCAUAUUCAGAACAUGUGUGGUUGGAGUGCGCCAUAUGAAACUCUGAUGAGGUGAUGGGGAAUAUAAGAGGCUGCAGCCAGAAAAACAAGACACUGACUGAAAUGUGCCACUGGCAUAAACUGGCCAGAUUACAUGCCUGAAUGAGGUAUGGCUGAUGCCAUGAGGAAUAGCUGAUGCAAAGCCUGCUUUAAGGAUUGUAAUGCAGGCGCUAAGGUUUGAGGUGGAGACUCAUUCUCUGAGAGUGUGUUAAUAAUAAAUAAUCAUUUAAAAAUUUGCAUUGAGCCAUCAGGAUGUACAUAUGCUUGUACAUAGUAACUGCAUGGCCUCAGUGCUGUAACCUUCACCCUAACCCUUCCCUAUUGGUUGUUACUCCCACACAUUGCAUCAUGUCUAAAAUUAGAUUGUAAGCAUCUUGGGGUAGGGACUAUGUCUUUCUGUUUACUCUGUAGAACACCUAGUGCAUUUUUGGAUGCUCAAUAAACCCCAAUUAGCAAAGAAAUCCAACAUCACCUAUAUAUUUACAUUUCUGUUUGUGUGGGCAUGUACAUUGCCAAUGCCACAUAUCUGCCCUCAUCAAAUAUACAGAGGAUUGGCUAUGCAGCCUGGAAGCGAGAGAGAAUUCAGUGAUGGUUGGUAUUAACAGACUAGCAACUGUUUCCAGUAUGGAACUGUUGUAGCCCACCCAGGAGCAUUGCCACUGGUUGGUUAUUUACAGUCAUAGUUCUUCAGACUUUCUUGCUUUCCCAUAACUGAGAACAAACUAAAAAAGAAACAAGAAUUCACAGCAUAAAACAACAUGCCAGUUUCCCCUACUUGUGUCCUAUAUAGCUUAACUAUUGCACAACUACAGCCAUUUCAAGGAAGAUAUUUAUGCUGAAGCCAACUGAAAAAGAUAAACAUAAAUGUUUUUCCUGGUGUGCAUGGGCUGCAUCUGCAAUGGUAAUUUUGUUGGUGAUGAAUGUGAGUGGAACAGUAGGGCUCUGCUUCAUGACCUAUGUUCUCCUUCCUUGUUGAUUUAUGUGAAGGUGUUAUAAUUAUAUUUCACAAGUCUCUCCCAGCAGAGGGAGAUGCCUACACGUAUCACAACAUGACUCAGUAUGACCAGGACAAUUGGUUUCUAGUAUCUAUUAAACCAGGGGGUCUCAAACUUCUUUGCACCACGACAUCCUUCUGACAAUAAAAAUUACUACACAACCCCAGGAGGGGGGACCAAAGCCUGAAUCUGUCUGAGCCCCACCACUCUAGGUGGGGUGGGGGCAAAGCCUAAGGGCUUCAGCCCCAAGCAGGGGGCCUGUAUCCCGAGCCCCGCUGCCCAGGGCUGAAGCCCUCAGCCUUCGGCUUUGGCCCAACGCAGUAGGACUCAGGCUUUGGACCAAGGACUCAAGAAGUCUAACGCCAGCCCGCUUUGGGGUUCCGACCCACAGUUUAAGAACUGCUGUAUUAGACUAAAGAUAUCUAGCUGACCAAAAGAUAACAUUUCAUGCAGUGUAAAAUGUGUGCGUCAUUACUGCAAAGUAUGCAACUUCGGUACUAGUGAAAUUAAUUAGCUGUUGAUGAUAGAAAAAUAUUCACCUGUGAUCUGUCCUUUUUACACAGCUUGAUAUCCUGUCUCACACUGGCCCUUCAGCCCCAGGAAACAUAGCUUCUUACCGUGGUACAAAAACCUUGUUCUGAGGCCUCAGCUGAAGCUGUUUGCACAGGAAAGACAGUGGGAUAAGUCAGAAGUAGUGCUGUAGUUGACAGCCAUCACUCCUACUCACUGCAUUACCAAUGAUUGCAGAUCUAAUGAAAUGAGACCCUCAGAAAAUUCACAGACUGAAAAUUUGAUUAGGGCUGUAGAACCAGCAUUUGAGAGGCUACAUUGACAGCCACAACCCAUAAUCCACAAUAAUGCUGCCACCGCAUGGGUUAUUCCUGAACUUUAAGAAGCCUCCUGUAUCUUCCUUGCUAUUUGCAAAUCUGAAAAUAUGACAUAGCAUGAGAAUGUGAAAUAUCUAAGAUUUCGGUGCCUUGAGAUUUUUUCAUUUCAAAAUUUAAUAAAAAGAUAUUAAAAGGAAAAAGAAUGAAAGAAGAGAUUUCUAGUAUUGCGCUUAGAACAAAUAAAGCCUAAGGCCCUUCAUAGAACAAACGCCUACUCACAUGUGACAAUGGGACAACUGCUAUGCAGAAAGUAACUCACGGGUGUUUGUAGAAUCAGGGCCCACAUCAGUACUUUAAAGAUGCCUUUUUAAAUGAUGUUUCUGCUGUAUAUCUGCUGAAAACAGUUGGCAGGUGGAUUUGCUGCUAUACAUACCCAUCAGCCCCACAUCAUCCCUCCUCUGAAUUCCCUGUCCCAUCAAACCCCACUCUGCACCCCAGGACAGAGACUGCACUCUACCAUAUAUAACAAUAUGCACACCCACAAUCAAUGUUUCUGCAUUCAGCACCUCACCCUAUUAGGGUUCUCUGUGCAGGGCCAAAUUCUGGCCCUCAUCAUAAAUAUCUCACAAAACCUCGUGGCCCUCUUAGGAUACAAAACCACAGGAGAAGGCUCUGAGGAAGUAAUAGACAAACAAUUCUCCGUAUACUGUCUUGUCAGUGGGGCAGGGUUUGAAAAGGCACCCCAGUUUGAAAAGGCACCGCCACUCUCAGAGGCACCCCAGAUCUUGCAAAUACCCAGAGAUCCACAAGAGGCCUGUGCCUCUGUGAUAGUUCUAACUCAUGGUAGAAGUUGUGCUGUCAAGGUUGAUUCCUAACUAUGAAUGUCCUGAGACUGUCCUUACUCUGUAUUCCACCUCAUCUCCACAGAAUCAGAGGUGGAACAGUGAGUGCUUCUCCCACAGUCCCAUUCAUAGAAUAUCAGGGUUGGAAGGGACCUCAGGAGGUCAUCUAGUCCAACCCCCUGCUCAAAGCAGGACCAAACCCCAAUUUUUGCCCCAGUUCCCUAAAUGGCCCCCUCAAGGAUUGAACUCACAACCCUGGGUUUAGCAGGCCAAAGCUCAAACCACUGAGCUAUCCCUCCCCCGCAUUCACCCCAUAUAACCUACCUCUCCAUUCCUCUAAUCAGCCCACCCAGUCUACAAUCCCUCUCCAGUGUAGAUGCCUGACCCACAGAGACCAACACAGUCCUCUUCAUCUGGAGGAGCUAGGGUGAUACUGCAGAGACAUCUGAACCUCUCUUCCCAAGUAGGAGGCAAGGAAAUCCACUCACAGAGAGUCUCCUCUUUGUGCAGAGAUCAUGGAAUGAUUGUGUGUGGAAUGAUCCAGGCUUCUGCUCUUAGUUAUUCUCAUUAUUACAGAUUUACUCUCACUGGUGUAAAUGCAAAAAGAAUUUGGUCCAUGGUAUAGCACUUAGACCUUCAGCUCAAGGAACAAGAAGAAAGUAGACUAUCAUCAUUUGUUACAAGUAAAGUAGACUUUGUUGCUGAAAUAAAAGUGGGGUUUAUUUAUCUUAGAUAACAAUUCACAUUUUUGCAAAGAUACCCAUUGGUCUGGUGACUGGACAAAAAUGUUAUGCCACAGACAGGCAAGUAUUUCUUCACUGUGGAUACCUUGUUGCUAUAGAUUGCCAUGCACUGGUAUGUUACAUAAGAGAUGGCUCCCAGUAUAUUGAGAACAUUAAGUACAGGCUGCUACAGUAAAGUGUUCAUUUUUUUCAGCAUCGCUGUAACUCCUAAUUAACUGAAUUGUCACAUUGAUUUAUGAAGUUAGCAGGAAUAUGUUUUAACAAAUGAGAUUCUUUUAAAAUUUUUGUUCUACUAGUUCUGCCUUAUGCAAAAAUAUUGUAAACGUUCCUUUAAGCAAAAAAGAAAAGGAGUGCUUGUGGCACCUUAGAGGCUAACAAAUUUAUUUGAACAUAAGCUUUCGUGAGCUGUAGCUCACUAACUAAAUUUGUUAGUCUCUACUGAGCCACAAGUACUCCUUUUCUUUUUUGUGAAUACAGACUAACACGGCUGCUACUCUGGUUCCUUUAAGCAGUUUGGACAACAGGGUAAAAAAAUGUUACAAACUUUAGGGGAGAUUGUCAAGUAUUUGUAUCCUAAUUUUAAACUUCACUUUCUGUUAUAAAUAUCACCUUAUAAUAAAGGAUUUUCCAUACGAUGUAAGACCAUGUUAACUUGUUUCUGCUUGUGGCUGUGGCCAGGUUCAUCAAUAAAAAGUAAAUAGAGAAUAUUUUCAGUUAUGUUGAACCAAUAAAUACACCAGAAACCUGAUUCCAAGAAUUCCUGGCUUUUGAAACAGAGACAAUAGACCUUGAGAAAUAUAAGCAGAAACAGAAAACCAUUUUGGCAUCCAUCUCCUAGGGGACAAAGAGGGAGCAGUGCCCUUUGGGAUCAUGAAAAGUGGAUUCUCUUGGCCUCAAAACCAAGUGGGACUGGAACUGACUGUAGGUGGGUAACCUGCUUAGACAAAGAUUGUAAUUUGCUGAAGUUAAGUUUGUCACUAGCAAAUGUGUUUUGUUUUACAUGUCACCAUAUCUGUCUUCUAUGUUUACUUAUUAUCACUUAAAUAUCUUUUCUUUGUUAAUAAACUUAUUUUUGUUUUAUUACAGAA